CGUAUCCGUAAUAGUGUGAAAAGAAAAGAAGGCCCGACUCCAAGUUGUUCAAGAAUAGUGGCGUUGAGUUUCUCGACCCUUUGCCUUAGGAUUAGUCAGUUAUAUUUCUCGAUGGGGGCAAGAGAAGGAAGGGGUAUAACUCAGCGGUAGAGUGUCACCUUGACACGGUGUAAGUCAUCAGUUCGAGCCUGAUUACCCCUGU
rnacentral:tRNA from 1 species